rnacentral:rRNA from 1 species
AUUGAACGCUGGCGGCAGGCUUAACACAUGCAAGUCGAACGAUGAAGUCUAGCUUGCUAGACGGAUUAGUGGCGAACGGGUGAGUAAUGCUUAGGAAUCUGCCUAUUAGUGGGGGAUAACGUAGGGAAACUUACGCUAAUACCGCAUACGACCUACGGGUGAAAGGGGGCUUUUAGCUCUCGCUAAUAGAUGAGCCUAAGUCGGAUUAGCUGGUUGGUGGGGUAAAGGCCUACCAAGGCGACGAUCUGUAGCUGGUCUGAGAGGAUGAUCAGCCACACUGGGACUGAGACACGGCCCAGACUCCUACGGGAGGCAGCAGUGGGGAAUAUUGGACAAUGGGCGAAAGCCUGAUCCAGCCAUGCCGCGUGUGUGAAGAAGGCCUUUUGGUUGUAAAGCACUUUAAGUGGGGAGGAAAAGCUUAUGGUUAAUACCCAUAAGCCCUGACGUUACCCACAGAAUAAGCACCGGCUAACUCUGUGCCAGCAGCCGCGGUAAUACAGAGGGUGCAAGCGUUAAUCGGAAUUACUGGGCGUAAAGCGCGCGUAGGUGGUUAUUUAAGUCAGAUGUGAAAGCCCCGGGCUUAACCUGGGAACUGCAUCUGAUACUGGAUAACUAGAGUAGGUGAGAGGGGAGUAGAAUUCCAGGUGUAGCGGUGAAAUGCGUAGAGAUCUGGAGGAAUACCGAUGGCGAAGGCAGCUCCCUGGCAUCAUACUGACACUGAGGUGCGAAAGCGUGGGUAGCAAACAGG